UAAAAAGCUCGUAGUUGGAUCUGUGUAUCGGACGGCCGGUUCGCUGCUCGCAGCGUUCAACUGGUCGGUCCGGACGUCCUGCCGGUGGGCGUCGGCGCAAGCCGGCGUCCGUACUACCCUCCGGGCUGCUCUUAACCGGGUGGCCCGGUGGGCCGGCACGUUUACUUUGAACAAAUUUGAGUGCUCAAAGCAGGCCUUUGGUCGCCUGAAAACUGUGUGCAUGGAAUAAUGGAAUAGGGCCUCGGUUCUAUUUUGUUGGCUUUUCUGAACUUGAGGUAAUGAUUAAUAGGGACAGACGGGGGCAUUCGUAUUGCGACGUUAGAGGUGAAAUUCUUGGAUCGUCGCAAGACGAACGGAUGCGAAAGCGUUUGCCAAGAAUGUUUUCGCUAAUCAAGAACGAAAGUUAGAGGUUCGAAGGCGAUCAGAUACCGCCCUAGUUCUAACCAUAAACGAUGCCAGCCAGCGAUGCGCCGAAGUUCCUCCGAUGACUCGGCGCGCAGCUUCCGGGAAACCAAAGCUUUUGGGUUCCGGGG
rnacentral:rRNA from 2 species